rnacentral:lncRNA from 1 species
GCCUUUACUCUGGACAUGGAGAAGACAGGGCAACAUGUGAUAGCGGACUCCUGUGGGGCUAGACAACAGAGCUGGAGCUUUUUUUGGUUUUUUUGUUUUUUUUGAACCUGGAAUCGAACUCAUGACCUCAGUCUUGAUGUGCACUGGCCCAUGGAGCUGGAGUUUAUAAAGACUCGGGCUAGGGGCGGAGCAUAAGGGGCGGGCAUAAUGACGUGUCCGGAGCUGAUUGGGGGUUUCUUCGCACGCGCGGGAAGGGCAAGCGGAAGUUGUGCUCUGGGCUGAGGGGAGGAGAGAAAGGCGGGGCGGUCCUUGGGAAGAUGAGCUGUUGUCUUGGGCUUCAGCCGUGUUAGACCACCACCAUCCUAAUAAUUCAGCCAUUCGUACGCGGGCAGGAACCUAUCAAAAAAGACACAUGAAAAGAAAGAGCCAGAGGUGGCCACAUGGGAACGGAAGCAUCCCGUAUGGGGGCGUUUUCCUUCAGAAAACGCGGCACGUGACAGUCUCGGCCCUGGCGAAUCCUGGGGCGGCGUCCCAGACACCCAGGUCACCGCCGCUUCCUUCUCGGUCCUCAUCACCGCACAACCUGACCGGAAGGGGUCUGUGCAGAAGUCAGAAAUGUCACCAGAAGCCGGACGUGGGGGCACACAUCCGUUAUUCCAGCACCUGGGGAAGUUGAUGCACCAGGAUCAUAAAGUUCAAAUUCUGCGUGGGUAACUUAGCAAGACCCUGUCUCAGAAUAAAAAUAAAGGGCUGGGUGUGGUGGUGCACACCUGCAAUCCUAGCGCUCAGGAGGCUGAGGCAGGAGGACUGCAGAGAGUUUGAGGCCAGCCUGGACUACAUACUGAGUUCAGCCCACCCUAACUACAUAGUGAGACUCUAUCUCUAAAUGAAUGAAUGAAUGAGUGAAUGAAUGAAUGAAUGAAUGGGCUUGGCAUACAGCACAUCUGAAUUCAAUCCUCAGGAACAACUCCCCCCCACACACACACACACACAGCGCCACCAAUAGGUUGCCCACCAAGAAUGAAACUGCAGGAUAGGAUGGGGACCCUAGGGGGCUCCAGAGGUGGAUGCUACCCAGCCUUAGUGGCCUGAUGCCUUCCUGUGUGUUACUGGGAUGUCUCACGGUGGAGAGAAGCUCCUCGCGGCCUUCAUCGAAGCACUGUCCUUCUGGGAUGGUUUUGGAGACCAAGCGUUCCUUCAGCUAGUGCAUUUCUCCUCCCUGUGCUAUAAAGA